UCACAAAACACAGAAAGGCAUAUUAUCAGUGUCUCUGAGGCUAUCAGUAGACACUGUUCAUCUUAAUGUCCUGAGCAGAUCAUUAGAUUUCUCAUCAAAACCCUGAAGGUCAGGAAUCUGGUUUUCAUUUACAGUGUGGAAUGAAAAUAAAACCAAACCAGCCCUGUCAGCUACUAAUUCUGUGUCCUGCAAAACUGUCCUACCACCUGAGGAAAAAUCCAGUACCUUCCCAGAAGCACAGGCUGAAGGCCAUACCAGGCCAGGGGCCUCAGAAUGUCCAGGGAAGAAGCCAGUAAAGCUACUAACUGAAGAGAACUCUGGGCCAGGUCUUUUGCCUUUUGCCAUCUGCUGUGCAUCUCCUCCCCACACUGCAGAGGAAGUCACAUUGCCCUAAUUGGGGACAGCAUCCUGACAUCCAGGAUGAAGACUGGAGCCCAUGCUCCUGGCCCACAUCCAGGAGCCUGUGGCAAGGCACAGGGCCAGGGGCUGAGGCCUCCCGUGGUGACUUUCCUCACUAGGCUCAUAGGUGCAAAGGGACUUGUGGCCUGGCAUCUUCCUGGAGAUUCCUGGCUCCCAUGCCUACCAUAG
rnacentral:lncRNA from 1 species